CCUCACCUCUGCCGCUACCUCUCAUGCACAGAGCCAACUCUUCCACGGUAUUUCUGAUGCAGAGUCAUCCAGUCUGUGGAAAGUUUUCACGUCCUGCCAAGAAACCCUCUUCACUGAGACCUGGCCCUCUUCAUUAAGAAAUUCCUGCUUUGUAUAACAAAUGGGUCUUUUUUUUUUUUUUUUUUUAAUGCUCAGACACUCAUCAUCGUCCAGUCUCCUGGAGCCAUGUGGAGGAAAACACUCCACCUCCCUCAGAACAGGGUUUCAAUAACUGAGGGCACCUUUGACGACUCUCAGUGUCUUCUUCAGGCCAAGCCAGAGCAAGCUGGCUCUGCCAUGCCCUGCAGAUGGAGCAAUGUCUCACAACAGCACUCAGGAUGAGAGCUACCAAGUGAUUGAUAAUCCAGCUCUGAAUCCGUCCACGGAACUCACACUGUCAGCUCACUAUAAGCUUAUUGCCAACUAAAACGCCCAGCUCCAUGCCUGGCUGUCUGGGCCCGACAGUCCCUCCAAAUCUAUACUUCAGCAGCUGAUGUUUUGGUGGUUUCUUCUAAAGGUGAGACUUCAUAGAUGGCCCUGUUAAAUUUGCUUUUCUUGGUCUUGGUCCAGCAUUGUAUCUGGUCAAGGUGAUUGAGAUAGGGAAAGAAAAGAAGAUGACAAUACAAACUAUAAGGAUGUCUAUGAAGUCCAAAAUGAAAUAAAUGCAAAAUAAAGAGGUCUCAACAUAAUCGGGAAGAGUAAUAAACUUCAGGGGCAGGGCCAAGGGUGUAAGUCACAUAAUACUAGGCAAUGGUUAGGGAACGGGGUGCCUUUUCCUUCCGCCUCUGUCCAGAUGUAAGGGGAGCCGCAUUCACAUGGAAAUGCACCUUGUGAAAAGCUAAAUACCUCAUCAGAAACACGCGCUGUGAAAAGCAGGACGUCUCUCAGCAAAACAUUUGUCUCUGUCCUGUCUCCAAUAUGGAUUUUGCAAUAGUUUUAGAGACGCCAGUCAAGUAGAUGGGAACAUAAAAAUAACCUGCCUUAACUGUGUUCUCUGUCCCAUAUCAAACACUAAAACUGAAUUAUGUUUCCACAUAUUCCUAGCUGUCCUAUAAUCACCUUUAUUUAUGACAUGCAUCUGGUAACGGAGGGCAAAAUACAUAAAAUUCCUUAAAAGAAUUAAAUGGACUAAAAAUUA